rnacentral:misc_RNA from 1 species
AACUGAUACUACCUGCGGGAACCUGCGGAAGGAUCAUUAUUGAAUAUACUUGAUAGGUUUGUAGCUGGCCCCUCUUGUAGGGGCAUGUGCACGGCCUGUCUUGAUUUCUAUUCAUCCACCUGUGCACUCUUUUGUAGUCCUCUUGAGGAUCAACGAGAAUGUGACUAAACUCGGUCGAGAGAUCGGAUGUAAGGCAUGUCUGUCCGACAAUGGAUAGGCUGACUUUUGAGUCACAUAUCU